rnacentral:rRNA from 1 species
UGUUCGGAAUUACUGGGCGUAAAGGGCGCGUAGGCGGCCUUCUAAGUCGGACGUGAAAUCCCUCGGCUUAACCGAGGAACUGCGUCCGAUACUGAAAGGCUUGAAUCCGGGAGAGGGAUGUGGAAUUCCAGGUGUAGCGGUGAAAUGCGUAGAUAUCUGGAGGAACACCGGUGGCGAAGGCGGCAUCCUGGACCGGUAUUGACGCUGAGGCGCGAAAGCUAGGGGAGCAAACGGG